ensembl:lncRNA
GGAGAUAGAGGAGAGACAGGGGGAAUGGAGGAGAGGAGGUGAUAGAGGAGAGACAGGGGGAAUGGAGGAGAGGAGGAGAUAUAGGAGAGACAGGGGGAAUGGAGGAGGCGAGGUGAUAGAGGAGAGACAGGGGGAAUGGAGGAGAGGAGGAGAUAGAGGAGAGACAGGGGGAAUGGAGGAGAGGAGGAGAUAGAGGAGAGACAGGGGGAAUGGAGGAGAGGAGGAGAUAGAGGAGAGACAGGGGGAAUGGAGGAGGUGAGGUGAUAGAGGAGAGACAGGGGGAAUGGAGGAGAGGAGGUGAUAGAGGAGAGACAGGGGGAAUGGAGGAGAGGAGGUGAUAGAGGAGAGACGGGGGAAUGGAGGAGGCGAGGUGAUAGAGGAGAGACAGGGGGAAUGGAGGAGAGGAGGUGAUAGAGGAGAGACAGGGGGAAUGGAGGAGAGGAGGUGAUAGAGGAGAGACAGUUGGGAAUGGAGGAGAGGAGGUGAUAGAGGAGAGAGAGGGGGAAUGGAGGAGAGGGGGUGAUAGAGGAGAGACAGGGUGAAUGGAGGAGAGG